rnacentral:rRNA from 1 species
CCUACGGGAGGCAGCAGUGAGGAAUAUUGGUCAAUGGGCGCGAGCCUGAACCAGCCAAGUCGCGUGAGGGAGGACGGCCCUAUGGGUUGUAAACCUCUUUUGUCGGGGAGCAACGGGCGUCACGUGUGGCGCCACUGAGAGUACCCGGAGAAAAAGCAUCGGCUAACUCCGUGCCAGCAGCCGCGGUAAUACGGAGGAUGUGAGCGUUAUCCGGAUUUAUUGGGUUUAAAGGGUGCGUAGGCGGAUCGUUAAGUCAGUGGUAAAAUUGAGGGGCUCAACCCGUUCCCGCCAUUGAAACUGGCGGUCUUGAGUGGGAGAGAGGUAGGCGGAAGGCGGGGUGUAGCGGUGAAUGGCA